rnacentral:misc_RNA from 1 species
UUAAUUUUCAUUCAGAUACAGAAUGGUUUCAGACAAGAUUUGUAAAAUCAGGUUUUGAAUUUUGAGCCAUCGGCAGGCUGACGGCUGGCCGGGUCAAAUACCCUACCCCAAGCCGGCUGCCGAAGCAAAAGGUGUUUUUUGUGGUUCACAAAAGGUUUGGACUCUGGGCCAGGCUUUCGCCCGGCUCAAAGCUUGUCAAAGGACAUUUGGUAAUGAUCCUUCCGCAGGUUCACCUACGGAAA